rnacentral:rRNA from 1 species
UACGAAGGGCGCAAGCGUUACUCGGAAUUACUGGGCGUAAAGCGUGCGUAGGUGGUUUGUUAAGUCUGAUGUGAAAGCCCUGGGCUCAACCUGGGAACGGCAUUGGAAACUGGCUUACUAGAGUGCGGUAGAGGGGUGUGGAAUUCCCGGUGUAGCAGUGAAAUGCGUAGAUAUCGGGAGGAACAUCUGUGGCGAAGGCGACACCCUGGACCAGCACUGACACUGAGGCACGAAAGCGUGGGGAGCAAACAGG